GACGAACGCUGGCGGCGUGCUUAACACAUGCAAGUCGAACGGAAAGGCCCUGCUUUUGUGGGGUGCUCGAGUGGCGAACGGGUGAGUAACACGUGAGUAACCUGCCCUUGACUUUGGGAUAACUUCAGGAAACUGGGGCUAAUACCGGAUAGGAGCUCCUGCUGCAUGGUGGGGGUUGGAAAGUUUCGGCGGUUGGGGAUGGACUCGCGGCUUAUCAGCUUGUUGGUGGGGUAGUGGCUUACCAAGGCUUUGACGGGUAGCCGGCCUGAGAGGGUGACCGGCCACAUUGGGACUGAGAUACGGCGCAGACUGGUACGGUAGGCAGCAGGGGGGAAUAUUGCACAAUGGGCGGAAGCCUGAUGCAGCAACGCCGCGGGCGGGAUGACGGCCUGCGGGUUGUAAACCGCUGUCGCCUGUGACGAAGCGUGAGUGACGGUAAUGGGUAAAGAAGCACCGGCUAACUACGUG
rnacentral:rRNA from 1 species